CCUGGCUCUGGGACGGGAGUGGGGGCUGGUGGUUAGAGCAGGGGGGCUGGGAGCCAGGACUCCUGGGUUCUGUCCUUGGCUUUUGGAGGAUAGUGGGGUUUAGUGGUUGGGGGCUGAGAACCAGAACUCCUGGGUUCUUUUCCCAGCUAUGCCCCCACUCAUUGUCUGACCCUUUGUUUCUGGCUCUCAUACCCAGUCUCUCUACUUUGGGUCAUUUCUGUGCUCUCUCGGGUGUUCAUAUUGAUGCCGCCUUAGCAUCCUUGUGAGCACUCUGAUGUUCGGUUGCAGGUGCUGUUGUCUUGGAGAUGCCUGGGUGUCAUCUCUAGAGCUGGGGGGACCUGACUGCAGGGGCCCAUGCACUGGGCCCUCAGGAUCUGUAGGAGCAUUGGGCGGGUGGGACGGGAGAGCAGGCCUUUCCAAGCCAUGGCUGCGCAGAGCAGCACCUUCCCUGCGCAGAAUGGCCACAAUGCCGUCACAGCCGGGAUCAUCAUCAUCGGAGAUGAGAUCCUGAAGGGACUCACCCAGGACACAAACUCCUUCUUCAUGUGCCGGAAGCUGCGGUCGCUGGGAGUGAAAGUUGCCAGAAUCUCCGUGGUCCCCGAUGAUGUCGAUACUAUCGCCACGGAGAUCUCCUCCUUCGCAGCCAAGUUCACCUAUGUGCUGACAUCGGGGGGCAUCGGCCCCACCCAUGAUGAUGUGACCUUUGAGGCGGUGGCCAAAGCCUUUGGGGAGCAGGUUUGCCCCCACCCAGAGCUGGUCGCCCUGGUACACAGGUUCUUUGGCAAGACGGAUGUGCAUUGCCCCGAGAUGAAGCUGGCGCACGUCCCUGAGUCCUCGCUGCUCAACUACGGCACGGACAAGAGGACGGGCGAUGCCAUGAAAUACCCCCUUGUCAGCGUGCGCAAUGUCUACGUCUUCCCGGGCAUCCCAGUGCUGAUGGAGCGGGCACUGGAGGGGCUCGGCCACCUCUUCCGCAACGAGCAGACCCGUUUCCACUCCCGGGAGAUCUACGUCAGCGCCGACGAGACGCUCCUGGCACCUGUGCUCAAUCAGGCCAACGCCCACUUCGGGCACCACACGCACCUGGGCUCCUACCCUGACUGGGUCAACAAUUACUACCGCGUGAGGCUGACCCUGGACUCGGAGUCUGAGCAGCACCUGGAGGAAGCCUACAGCUUCCUGAUGCAGAACCUGCCCCCUGCGCUGGUCGUGCCCCUGGUGACAGACCCUGUGGCGCGGGCAGCCACAGACGUGUAUGCCCUGGCUGAGUCUGGUUCCGCCCUGGGCCAGAAGGUGGCAGCAGCGCUCCGGACCAUCGACGAGGCCUUGGAUCGGUUCAGCCUGGCCCAGAUCUGCGUGGGCUUCAACGGGGGCAAGGACUGCACGGCCCUGCUGCACCUGUUCCAUGCCGCCGUGCAGAGGCGAUUCCCACAGCGGGAGGAGAAGUUGCAGGUGCUCUACAUUCGCAUCGUGUCCCCCUUCCCCGAGAUGGAGCAGUUCAUUCAGGCCACCACCCAGAGGUACGACCUCCACCUCUGCGCAGUGCAGGGCCGCAUCCAGCAGGCACUGGCAGACCUGAAGGCCCAGCACCCCCAGCUGCAGGCCGUGCUGAUGGGGACGAGGAGGACUGACCCCUACUCCCGCACUCUGACGCCCAUGUGUGUGACCGACCCCGGCUGGCCCGAGUACAUGCGGGUGAACCCCCUGCUGGACUGGACGUACCGGGACAUCUGGCAGUUCCUGCGCACGCUCUUCGUCCCGUACUGCAUCCUGUAUGACAAGGGCUACACCUCCCUGGGGAGCAUGAGCAACACGCAGAAGAACCCGGCGCUGCGCUCCACCAACGCACUGGGCCAGGAGAGCUACCGGCCGGCCUACCUGCUGGAGAACGAGGACGAGGAGCGCACCUCGCGCCAGUGAGGCCCUGCCAGGCAGGCCCCGGCCACAAGAACCCCCCGCUUGGCGGUGAACUGGGCUGAGCGCGGGCUGCUCCCCUGGGACACCCACCCGCGGCCUGGGGCCCUGCCUCCCAGACACCUGGAGCAGCCGUGUGCCCCCCGCCCACUGGGCACUGCUGGCUGGGGCAUGCGGAGGGAGGGCCUGGGGGCCCUCUGAAUAAACCCAUUGUACUCAGCCUCCUGCCUGCGUCUCCUGCCAGCACCGGCUCCCGGGGGGCUCAGAGCGUGGCCCCCACGGUGUGGGUCGGUGGGUACAUGGCAGUCCGGCCUGAGGAGGGCGGAGGACUCUGGGAGAUGGGAUGUGCAGGGAAUGUGACCCCUCCCUGGGCCCAUUGGCAGGGUGCCCCCGGCCAGUGCUGCCUGGUCUCUGGCAGCCUCCGCUCCUGGCACCACAUCUCCCCAUCCGCACUCUCCCUGGGUGAGCGCCAGGGCCAGGCUCCCACUGGUGCCAUCUGGCUGGGGCCCCAUGCCCUGUCCAAGGGGGGGGGCCUAGGGAGGCUGCGCCCCUUUUCCAGCAGGUUCAGUCUGGUUGGAGGCCAGGCCAGGCCCCCCGAGGGCAGGAGCGAGCAGACCUGCUCAGGCAGCAGCCCCUCCCCCACCCUGCCCGGGGCCCUAUUCAUGCAGCCCUUUGAGCUGCAAAGAAUCCAGCCGCUUCCAGCCUCUGUCACGCGGCUCUCCCCUGCCCGCGGCAGGGCCCAGACCCGGCUCAUCCCCGCAUGAUGCAUCUCCUGGGCAGACGCCUGGCCUGGCAGCCCCGGUCCCUGACCCGCUGCCCCCUGGCGCAGCUGGCCCCGUACCCCCUGCGACGGGCGGUUCGGGGCAUGGUGCUGCCGGGGCCCCUCCCCAAGGGUCCUGUGGGGCUGAAUCUCAGCUACUGGCUGCUGGACGUCCUGCGGGAGUGCGCCUACCUCCUGCUAUGCUGCUGGUGCAUCAAAGAACUGCUGGACUAGCCCCCCGCCCCCUCGUGUGCCGUGCUGCCGGGUGCUUGUCCUCCCAGCCCCCCUGCCCCUCCGCAGGGCUGGACCCACUGGCUGCACUCUGGGAUCGCCUGACCCCUUGCUGCUGGGGGGCCUGGAGCAGAUGGAGCUCCCACCAGAAGGACCCUUUGGGACGCCCUGAGCCUGUAGGAGCUGGAAUCCCGGCUCGCCAGCCCCGACAGGACGGGAAUGGGACUUGACGGUGGAUGCCUGGCCCCCGGCCCUGCGCUCCCCAAUAAACCUGAGCAACGCGUGA